UUUCAUUGUUCUUAGUUCUUGAACAAGUCUUCAACAUAGAUUCAAAAUUUAAAGAUUCAGAGUAAGUUAUACAUACUUUCAGUUUAUAUUCUUGUUAUUUCACUAUCAAUAUGAGUAGUUAAAUUCUCAAUUGAGGUUGUGAAACCCAAUGAUAUUCUAGAGUUCAUAAGGUUCUCGUAUGAUAUGUUUCUGGGGUUGUUAGAUAUCAAACUUCUUUUUGUUCAUAAUCAAAAGGUUUAGUGGUUGAAAAUAUUAUUCUAUGUCAUAAUUUCUUAAUCUACAGACAUGGAAGAGGGAGUUAGAAUUUGGUGAAAAGAAAUUUGCAUGAACUCAAGAUGUAAAACCUUGUUUGAUAAACUCACAUUAAGAAUAAUAGGGUGUGUGUUUUGCAUAAGACAUACCAUACUCCUAAAGAGACUAUAAAACCUCAUGUUUUAAAAUAUUCUCUUGCAGAAGAGGGUAAAGCAUAGUAUCAUGGUCUACCACCACACCUUAUCCACUCAUGGAAUGAUCUUGUGAACAUUUUCUUNNNNNNNNNNNNNNNNNNNNNNNNNNNNNNNNNNNNNNNNNNNNNNNNNNNNNNNNNNNNNNNNNNNNNNNNNNNNNNNNNNNNNNNNNNNNNNNNNNNNNNNNNNNNNNNNNNNNNNNNNNNNNNNNNNNNNNNNNNNNNNNNNNNNNNNNNNNNNNNNNNNNNNNNNNNNNNNNNNNNNNNNNNNNNNNNNNNNNNNNNNNNNNNNNNNNNNNNNNNNNNNNNNNNNNNNNNNNNNNNNNNNNNNNNNNNNNNNNNNUUUCCCUAAAGUGGUUCUCUUUCAGCAAAAAAACCCAUAAAGGACAACAUAUUUCACAUCCAGCAAAGGCUUGGGGAACAACUAAUGUGAGCUUGGAAAAGAUUUAAACAGUUGUUUUUCAAAUUAUUUAAUCACAUAUAUCUGAUGAAAUAUUGCUUGUGAAGUUUUACUUGGGUUAGAUGCAGUAAAAAAAUUUGUAACAAAUAAUGUGGCUGCAGGGUACUUUAUGGACAAACAUUCACUCAAGCCACUGAGUUACAAACUAUAGCUUUGAAUGGCACUCAAGAGAUCAAAGGUAUGAAUAUUCUGACGCAUCUCUUUCACUAACGACUUUAUUUAAAGAAAACAUCAGAAAGAUUGGUCGAUUGCCAUGAUGGUUGUAAAUAAUGAUGUCACCAUUAGAAAGAUCCCUAAAAGUAGCCUACAAAUAUGUAGAAUAAGCAAAAUAGGCAAUACAAAUCCUAUCCAUGCUAAUAAGUUUUAAGUGAUGAAGUUUAUAGGUGGUGUACAUAAUCAUAACCAACAACUCUAUUACCAUGUCGAUCUUCAACAUAUCGCGUGGGAAUCUAAGAAAACAAUGAUCAAAAUCUAUCUCGACACUUCAAGAUAGUCAUGACCCGAGACUACUCCCUAGUCGUAACAUGAUUCUUAGAGUCACAAGUGACCCCAAUCUAACCCAUAGCCUGGAAUGAUACUAAUAAUAAUGAAUUAACUGAUAAAAACAUGGUGUGGAAGUUGUAUUAAAUGAGGAAAUAAUAAUCAAGACCAACAAUAAUACUGAGUUUAAAACCAGAGAGUUGAACAUAUAACUAUAUGUAUGAAAUCCUAUACUAAGAUGAGUUGUUGGGACAAGCCCCGAACUAAGUCUAUCUAUUUGAAAUUGAAAUAAAUAAAAAUAAAUAUUGAUACUAGUCCUCAAAUGAUGGUGACAUGCCAAAGAUCUAUUGGUGAUAUAGUAGUAGAUGAUACUAAGUCUAAUCCCGUUGUUGGGCGUUAGAACACAUAUUAUAAGACAAUAUAGCAUAAAAGAAUUUAUAUGGUCAGUACUUUUAAUAUACUGAGUAUGUGCGAUAGGAAAUAUCUACUAUAGGCUGAACAUAAUGUACGUAGCAUGGUAAAUUUAUACAACAUUAUAAGCAUAUACUGUAUUAUAAGGUGGAUAAUUGAUACAAGGUCAUGCUAGAAAUUGAAUUUGAAAUAAUGGUUGUGGAUUGUAGGAGCUACAAAUAAAUGACAUACCCCAAUUUGAGCUUGCUAGGGUCCAACCUGUAACCUCAUCUAGAAAGGUAUUAAAUACUUAGCCAAGGGUAUGAACGCUACUGACGAGGAUCCACUAAACGGAUAUCCGAAAAGACUAAGGUGCCAAGCCUGGUUUGAUAGGUAACCAUUAGAACCAUUGGUGGCAUCUUAGCUCUAUGACUUAUGGACUUCUGCUAAAGGUAUUAGCCUAACAGAAAGGUAAUCCUUCACACCUGCGACUGCUCGGUGAUAAUACUUCUCCUAACUUAAAGACACAGAUACUACAAUGCUCAAUAAUAAUAUUCUAAUGAUCAAAAAUAAAUUCAUUAUCUGACAUAAUUCAAAAAAAUAUGAAUAUAGGAUAUAAUUCUCAUAUGUAUAUGUAUAAAAUCCUAGGUCCUCGAGUAUUCAUAAAUCCACCAUCUUAAAAGAAUGAACCUACUAUGCCAAUUUGAUGAACAAAGUGAAUUUAAGAAAUUUAAUAACUCAAGUCCAAUAAUCAAGGAUUUCAUAAUAUAAUUAGGUUUAUGAUUUGAACAUUUCAUGGUACCAAAAUUCAUGCUAAACAUGGGUUUACAACUUAAUGGUAUCAAUGAACUACAAUAUUAAGAAAUUCAAAACAUUCAUAAAUCCUAAGAUCUAAGGAAGGAAUUAAAAUGAGGAAUUGAGAUUCUUGUGACUCAAUGGGUGAAAGGAGAACUACAAAUUAAAUUUGACACACCUAGAGAUGGAAAUAAUAUUGAAAUCUUUGAACUUGGAUCUUGAAAGAGAUGAACCCUAGAUUACCUUGGAUGAAGAAGAAUUAUUUUUUUUGUUUGAGGCAAAAUUUUGAAUGAGUUUGGGUAUUGAGGGAUAUAGGGUAAUAUUUAACUUAGUACUCAGCCUUGGUGUAACUUAAACAAUGUAGUUUUGAUGUUAAAAGAUUUGAAAAAGACUUAUGAUCCCCUUUAAAGUCAUAACUAAAAUGUUGCUGGAUGGGGCGUAUGAGACCUUCCCAUGAUCAUGAGACCUAUGCACAGUUGUGGGUGGUGUUCUUGGUUGGAAUAUGGAUUUGGUAUCUUUGAACUCCACUAAUCGAGCAUUGGUAUAAUAAUGAGACCCACCUAUGAUUGUAACUUAAUUCAUAAGUUAUUGGUUGUUAUCCGAUGAACUUUAUAAGUCACGUUCUUACCUAAGAUAAUUGUUUCUAACCAUGGUCGUGGUUAUUUAUCAUGGAUGUAAGGUAUACUAGUCAAGUUUUAGAUGUUUGGGGUUGUAUCAAUUAGUUUCAAGCAUUGUAUGGCCGUACAAUCUCAACACGAUUGUACCUACGCUCGUAUGUUCUCAUUAUUCGGCAAUGCUUCACUAAAAUAACCAUAACAUCUUACGUCGAUAUUUGGUUAAGGUGAAACUACAUGAGUUGGAAAGAUAACUCAAAUAUCUAUUAUUUUCUAGAUCUUAAGCUCCAAAAAACUCUAAAAUCUAGGAGUUUUUCUCAUUUGAAUUUGACGAUAGAGUGAUUCUUCAUAAGAAAUGAAUCGGUAAGGAAGGCUUUGAAUUGGCCAUGAUCUAGGAGUUACUUGUGGCCUUAAUCUAUAUAAAAAUCACUUCCCCUAUAAGAAAAACAUGAUGUUCGAAUUUAUAUAUACUUGAAGCAUGGUUUUAAUCUUAGCUUGGAUUUUUGGGGUGUUGUAAUAUCUCCUACUUGGGGUUAUUUGUCCCCGAAUGAAAACUUACUAAGAAGAAAUGUGAGAGAAAGAUUUGAAAUUCCUACACUAAAUUUGUAAGAGCUGAAUAUUGACAUGAUAACUGAGUCCUUAAUUGAAACAUGGACUGAUCCAAACUCAUGAAUUCAUGAUAUGAUAUGAUAAUAGUUGGGUGAGAUAAAACAAAAAUAAUUUAUUAAUUAAGUAAAAAUUAUUACCUAAAGCAGGGACUGAGUUCAGUGGGAAAAGAUGGGGAUACUUGGUCAUCAUAUCUACCUCCACUUUCUAAGUAUCUCUCUUAACUGAUUAUUUUAGACAAAGUGACCUCUUUAUGUCCCAACUAAUGAACCUAACAAUCAAGGAUCUCAACCAAGACCUCUUCAUAAGAGAGACUAUUUUUAAAACCCACACUCUCUAAGGUCCCAACUGAUGUUCAGUUAGUUGAUAACUCUAACACAUAGGGAACAAUUGCUAAAAUGACCCACGAUCUCAUAAGGACUAACAUAUUAGGGACUGGCCUUCCCCUUCUUACCAAAUCUCUUCACCCCUUUCAUCAGUGAUACUUUUAAGUACAGAAAAUCACUAUUAGCAAACUCAAGUUCCCUUUCCCUCAUAUUUGUAUAGGAUUUUUUAUGACUCUGAGCUAUUUUAAGCCUUUCGUUAAUCAACAGAACUUUCUCCAUUGAAUCAUGCAAUUAAUUUGAGCCUAUUAAGGUAACUUAACCAACUUUAAACCAACCAAUUGGAGAUGUAAACCUCUUAUGAUAAAGUACUUCGAAUGAGGCCAUCUAAAUACUGAAAUGGUAGAUUUUAUUAUAAGAAAACUAAAUCAACAAUAAAUAAUCAUCACAACUAUCCUUGAAAUCAAUCACACAUGCUCUUAAUAUGUCCUCUAAGGUUUGAAUGGUCCUCUUUUCCUUCUAGUUUGUAUACAAGUUAAAAGUCAUUCUAGGAUGAACUUGGGUACCAAGAACCUUUGAAAAUGUGUUUCUAAACCAAUUGCAUACCACUGAGUACGUCUAUCAUAAAUAAUUAAUAAAGGGACUACAUACAAUUUCACAAACUUUCUACGGUAGACUUUAGCAUAGUACUUGGCUAAAUUUGAAGUGUUAAUUGGCAAUAAAUGGGCCAACUUAGUCAUUCAGUCCAUCAUAACCGAAAUAGAAUCAUGUUGUUAAUGAUUAUAAGGCAACUCUAUAACGUAGUUCAUAUUCAGCACUUCCUACUUCCAAGAAGGAAUAUUGAUACCCUAAAGCACACCAUCAGUUCUUUAGUUCUUAACUUUAACCUACUGGAAAAUUGAACACUUAGCCAUAAAUUCCAUGAUAUCUUUUUACAUGCCAUUCCACUAAUAGACAUCCCAUAAAUAACAAUUCCUUAGUAGCUUAUAGGUUAAUAGAAUAUCAAGAAUUAUGAGUUUCUAUUAGAAUAUUCCAUCUUAAGUCAUCUAUAUUCAGAACACAUAUUUUUCCCUGAUAAUGAAGAACACCAUCUCCCCCUUAGAGAAAACCUUAACCAUCUGAUUUUGUCCUACUUCUUUUAAACCAAGAAAAAUAAGAUCACUAGCUUUAUUUUCUUUCACACCACCUAUUAAAAAGGAUUCUGAACCACUAUGAAUCAAGAUAUUUCCCUAAGCUAAAUCAAAAAAUCAAAUCCCUAAGCAAGAAAGCUGGUGAACCUCAUAAAUUAACUCUUUCUUCUCAUCUUAUGUAUGAUCAAAACUUUGCAUAGAAAACCUACUAAGAGUAUUAGUCACCGCAUUGGCUAUUCUUGAAUGUUAUAAGACACUCAUAUCAUAAUUUUACAACAACUCUAGUCAUCACAUCUGAUUGAAGAUUAAUAUCUUUCUUGUUGAACACAUACUGAGCACUUUUGUGACCAGUAAGUACAUAAACAUGGACCCCAUAGAGGUAAAGCCUUCAUAUCCUUAAGGCCAAAAUAACUAUUGUUAACUCAAGAUCUUGAGUCAGGUGGUCCUUCUUAUGACAUUUGAACUGUCUAGACACAUUCAUUAACCUUGCCAUGAUGUAUCAACACACAACCAAGUCUAACUCUACAAGUAUCAUAGUAAGCCAUAAAACUAUAUGAACCCUCUGCUAGAGUCAAAACUGAAGUCGUGGUGAGUCGAGUCUUCAACUACUAAGAACUCUUCUUUUAUGAAUUUGACCAUCAAAACUUGACUUUCUUUCUAGUUAGUCUGGACAUUGAAGAAUCAAUAGAGGAAAACCCUUUCAACAAACCAUCUAUAGUACCAAGAUAAAACAGAAGAAAAUUUAGAUAUCUAACGGGGAGAUGAGUCUAGGCUAAUUUUUAACUUCUUUGGUCUUUUUAGGAUCAACUCAAAUGACUUCAACAUAAAUGAUAAUACCAAGGAAUGCUACUGAUUUCCAACAAUAUUUACACUUACUGCACUUAGUGAAUAGUUGGUGAUCAUUUAGAUUCUUCAAGACAAACCUAAAAUGGUUAGCAUAUUCAUUAUUACACUAAGAAUAAAUGAGGAUGUCAUCUAUAAAGUAAAUGAAAAAUAUGUACAUGUACUUCUUAAAUACCAUAAAAGCCAAAGGGGAAUUUGUUAGUCAAAAAGAUAUAAUAACAAAUUCAAAGUGACCAUACUAAAUUCUGCAGGUUUCUUUAGGAUGUCACGUUCUCUGGCUCGAAGUUGAUGAAAGUCAAAUCAUAAGUCAAUCUUAAAGAAAUAAUCGGCACCCUAAAGAUGGUAAAAAAUUCAUCAGUCCUGAGAAUAGGGUACUUACUUUUUACUAUGAUUUUGUUCAACUAAUGGUAAUCGAUGCAUAUUCUGAGAGAACCACCUUUCUUGUGCACAAAAAGAACUGGAGCACCCCAUGGAGAGACACUAUGCCUAAUUAAAACUUUUUCUAGGAGAUAUUUCAACUAUUUUUCAAAUCCUUAAGCUUUUUGAUAAAGCCAUCCUAUAGGGUGUAAUUGAAAUGGUUAGAUAUCUAAAAUAAGAUUCGUUUCAAAGUCUAUUUACCACUCAUGAGAAAUUCCAAGCAGAUCUUAAAGAAAUAGUUUAGAAAAUCUAUUUACUAUUAGAAUUGAAUCAAAAUUUGGGGUUUAGGACUUUGAAUGCUUAACAUAAACAAGAUGAUAGAUGCACCUUUUGAUAAUUAUCUUCCUUACCUGAAGGUAAUAGAUGAACCGACCUAUCGAUACCGAAGUACUACCACUUCACUCUAUCAAUGGAUUAUUUGGAAAUUAAAAUGUAACUACUCUAUUACUACAAUCAACUAAGUCCUAUAAAGGGGAUAUCCAAUCAAUGCCAUGAAUAACAUCAAAAUAUAUUAUGUCUAACUCUACAAGAUUGAUUGAGGUGACUUUCUAGGAAACUGUGACUAUGCAAUUUCUAUAUAACUAUCUAGCUAUGACUAAAUUACUUAAUGAAGUAGAGACUGAGAAGGGUUCUAAGAGGAUUUCUGUAUUUACAACCAAGACUACUGUUAUAUAGGGUGUCAUGAAGGAAAGUGUGGCUCUGAGAUCUAAUAGUGAAUAAAUAUAAAUAUGAAAGACUUGUAACAUAUUAGUGACCACAUUAGGAGAAACUUCCUAACCUUUUAAGUUUGAAGGGCAUAGAAGCUAUUGUGUUAUUAUUCACUAAUUUCACUAGAUGGCCUACCCUGCUGAGUCAGGCGAUAUGCUGGAGCUAUUGAAGGGUUAGACUAACUUUACUAAUGAGCAUCCCUACCUUUCUGUGAAGCCACUGCAUAUUCUCUUAUGUUGUGGCCUAGCUUGACACACCCAAAACACAAUCACUACAAAUCAUACACAGACCUUUGUGGUUCAUACCAUAUUUAUUACAAAUCAAAUUAGUUCAAACACUAUUAAUUCUACCAUGGGACAUUGAGCAUAGAAAUUUUCUCAAUUAUCCUACCUAACCUUAGGAACUAGAGCACUAGCACAAAAUAUGGAUGAAGUAAAUAUUUUUAGCGAGACUGAGAAUGAUUACCACUAUUUAGCCUUUGUUGAUAUAUAGAAUAACUGAGUAUAAGGUCAUGCAAGUAUGUAAAUUUUAACUACGGAUUUUGGACUAUGGGAGAGACUAAUAACAAACAUAUGCAAUCUAAGAUAAUUAAGGUCCAUCUUAUAAGCCCUGUUGAAAGGGUGUUCAGUACCUUACUAAGGGUACGAAUACUUACUGACAUAGAUCCAGUAAACUUAUGCCCAAAAGGACUAAGGUGUCAAGCCUUGUAUGAUGGGUUAACCUUUAGAACCUAUGAUGGAACUGUAGUUCUAGUCCUUAAGGACUAGUAAAGGUUUUAGCCUAACAGAUGGGCAAGCCUUUAUCAUGCGUUCUCUUAGUUCUAAAUAUUACUUCCUUAUAAAAGACACUAAUAACUACAAUGCUUAAUGAUAAUAAUAAUUUGAAGACUAAAAAUAAAUGCAUUAUCUAAAAAAGUUAAAAUAUGUGUGAACUAAAGGAUAUAAUACUCACAAGUAUAGGCAUGAACCCCUAGGUCAUCGGUUGUUCAUAGCUCACUAUCUUUGAACAAUGCACUAUUAUUCCAAAUUUAUGAAUUAAGUGAAAUUAAAGAAUUUAAUAACUGAAGUCCAAUAAAUAUGGAUUCAAUUCAUGUUAAACAUGGUUUUAUAACUCAAUGGUAUAAAGGAACUAGAAUAUCAAUGAAUUCACAACAUUCAUGAAUACUUUGAGGAAGGAAUUAAAUUGAGAAAAUGUGUUAUCUUUGGGACUCAAUGGGUGAAAAGAGAUCCACUGAAAAAAUUCCACAUUCUUGGAGAUGAAAACCUUGGAGAUAUCUUUGAACUUAAAUCUUGAAAGUGAUGUACCCUAGUUUGCCUUAUAGGAAGAACAAAUAUUUCUUAUCUCCAUUUAAGGUUAAAUAUCGAAUGAAUUUAGGUAAUAAGGGUCUUAGGGUAGUAUUUAAAUUAAUACCCAGCCUUGUUAUAACUUAAAUAAUUUAGUUUUUAUGUUAAAAAGUGGUAAAAGACUUAUGUGACUCUUAAAUUCAUAACAAAAUAACUUCUUGAAGGAAUAUACGAGACCUUCCCACAAUCAUGGGAUCCAACUAUAAUCAUGGGUAAUGUUCUAUAAUGACCUGACUUUUUGUGAUUUGUGUGACAUAAUUAUUUUUAUUUGAUUAGAUUAUGUUAUCCCUCCCUAUGGUUGCAUUAUAGUAUUUUCAGGAUGUGUGGAUGAUUGGUAUAGUUCUCUAAGUUUUUUGAUGUAAUUUAUGCAAGUUUGUAGUGUUUUGUGGCUUUAAAAGCCAUAUAGUUGUCUUUGGUCAACAUUUAUUCACUGUGCAUUGGAUGGAAAAAUAGAUUGUACAAACAGAUUUAGAAUGUCAAUUUUUUAUAGAAAACAUGGUUGGUGUGCUUUUAUUCUUUUAUAUCUCAUUUUGACCUUCGGUUUGGAAAAUUGUGAAAUUGGAUUUUAGAGGUCAACUCUAUGGAAAUGGCAUCUUUUGAGAAAUUUGAUAUCGUCAUUGAGUAUGAAUCAUUGAAUUUAAUAGGGUAGCAUAGUCUGUUUCCAUUUGUAAGAUUCUAAAUGAAUUAUGAGAGGCCCGCGAAGACUUGGAAUUCUCCAAGUCUAUUGCUGGUACACCCGCUAAAGAGAUAUUUUUGUUGCUUAAUGACCCAGCCGAGUAUCUGAGAUGCUGCUUUUGUGAUUCUUGCAUGGCAUACAUGACCUUCAAUUAAGCAACAAGAGGAUUGCUUCUAUGACAUUUGCUUAAAGAUGAGGUAUCGCGAAAGCAAUACCUAGUCACAUAAGUGAUGGUCGCUUAAGCGACUCGGUGAUUGUGUAUGUGAUGCCUAUAUCAUUUAAAUAAUCCAUUUUGCGAUUUUUAUACUAUUUUUUAGAUUUGGAGGUUUUCAAGUUUUUGAACAUUUUCUUCCAUUUCUAAGCUUGGGUAAGUUCCAAAACUCCUAUUUCAAUUACUUUUCUCCAGUUAUAUUAUUCAAAUCUUGUUUAAACUUAGAAUUAAAGAGGAAAUUUUAGGAUUUUGGGCUAAAGGCCAAAAAUUAGUAUUCUUUAAUAAAAACCCCAAUUUCAACUCCUUUUUCUGUUGUGUUUUCUACCAUGAGUUCCUUUAAUCUUGGGAAACAUGUUUUUUGAUAAAAAAUUUGAUUUUACCCUUCAUUUUCAAACAGUUGUCUCGAGGGUUCAUUUUGAUCCCAAUUCAAAAAUGGUCAAUAUGGGUUUCAUUGGGUUUUUUAUGCAUAUAUUCUAUACUUGUAUGUUUUUGUUGAUUUCGGGGUCGUUUAAGAGGGGAAAACUUUGGAUUGAAGGGUUUUUCAAUUGGUUUUUGGCAUUCAAGGUAGGUUAUGACUUAAAUUUCUUCAGACUUAGCUGGGUCAUUAAUAAUAAUAAUAAUAAUAAUGUAAAAGCAUCCUAUGAGUACGGGAUUGUAUAAUGGAAAAAGUGUUAGUUGAUUUAUGUAGCCGUGUAGGGGUCUAUAUCGGUGAUAUUUGGUGGUUUUGAGUCAUUACUUGCCAUGUGUACCUGUGUGGUAUCUUGUAUAAUGUUGAUUAUCUAGUAUUGAUAUAUGUAUGUUUUGUUAUAAUCUUUUUGGAUGGAAAAAUCCUAGAUCUUAGAAUUAUUUGGUAUCAAUGACAUUUUCUUACAUGUUUCACUUGAUUAUUUCUGGAUUAUAUUGAAUUAUGGAUAGUUUAUUGAUUUGGGUUGUUCUUAGCUCACAUGGUUGGUAUAUUUAUUGGAUAUUAUAUAUUCUCAUUUUGGUUUGAUGUGGGAAUUUCAUCAACAUAUUAUAUUCAUUCAUGAAACAUUGUUACCACCAUUAAAAUACUAGAAAUAGUGGAUUUUUUGGAUAGAAAAUGUGACAUGCUUAAAAACCAUCUAUUAAUGAUGUUUUGGAGAGGAGUUAUAGAUAUUGGUGUUAUAUAUUGGUUGUAUAUGGGUUGAAAAUACCCCAAGAGACUGAUAGGUAUGGGUUGACAAACCCUUCAUGGGUCCAACUUUGAUCAAAGCUCAGCAGGUGUAUACAAAAGUUGUGUGAUGACAUCUUGCAUCAUCAUCAUCAUCAUUACCUUAAUUGCCUUCAUAUUAUCAUGCUUAUGUUUUAAUUAUAUUUCUAUAUUUAACUUAAUAUCUAUCAAUCUAUUUUAUCUUCCUAUACUUAUAUUUGAUGUACGUGUAUAUUUAUUCUUCUUUUCCCUGCAUGUAUGUAUUAUAUGUCUGUAUAUUAAAACCUCAAAUAGAGAUGGUGUGGGCUACUAUUUGGGAUAUUUUUUAUUGCAGGAGAUGUGCCCAUAGUUUGUGUUUAUAUGCUUUAUUUUCUACUUUACUCAGUCUACCUAUGAUACCUAAUGAGUGAAAGUGGACCAUAUUCACCACUACUAUUCCCUUUUGGUGUAGAUCCAGGUAUGAAUGUGCCAUAUAGAUAGCUAAUUUGGGUAACAUUUUGGAGUAUUGGAGGCAGUUAAAGUCCUAUGCUUCAGGAGUUUUCCUAUUUCCUCUUCCUAUCUAUUACAUGUCUUAUUUUGGUAUUCAAAGAUAAAGUUUUGAUCCUCUUAUGUCUAUCACUAUAUCAUACUGCAUUUAAGAUGUAUUUAGUAGUUUUUAAACUAUGACACCAGAUUUUAGGAUUUGGUUGGUAUCUUUACUAUAUUUCUGCUUUUACUAUAUAUUUAUGGUUUGACUCUAUUCUAGGGGUCUUUCCUUGGUUUUUGUAUUGAUUAGUAAUUUUUUAUCAGUUUACGCAAUUGGCUUACUAUUUGAGGCCUUUUGCAACAAGUGCCAUCAUGACCCUUGGUUUUUGGAUCUUGAAAAAUUAGUAUCAGUGUAGUCGAGUUCAGCGGUCUCAUCAGUGUAAGAAUAGGAUGUCUAAUAGGGGCUCACAGAUUGGUAUGUAGAUAUUCGUAUAUAUCUUUGAGUGGCUAUAGGAUAUCUUUCGAAAACUCUUCUUAGUUAAAUCUAUAUUAUGCAGGUAUUUCAUACCUUUUGUUCUAAAUCAUAUUUCACUUUUUUCUGUGCAUAUGGUGAGGACUAGAUCCAGUGAGGCUAGAGAUAUAGAUCCAUUAUUUGAAUGGAGAGCCCAGUCUAGAAGUUGAGCUAUGAGUCUUGGUUGGGUUUGAUGUAGAUUACAAUCACGAGGAUCUACCUCAUCUAUAGAUAGCACUAAGGACUCUUCCCUAAGCCUCAAGAUGAAUAUAUUGGAGAUACAGGCCCUACUGAGCUCUUCUACCCCAGUCAUCGAGGAGUUACUGGUUUGUUUUCUGACUCAUUUGGAGGGUGCUUCUAGGAGUUCACCUGGUGUUCCUUUAGCUCCGAGUAUGGCACCUCUAUCUUUGCUAGAGUCUACUCAUAUCAUUCCUUCAGUAUCGACUGUGGAUCCUCUUAUUUCUUAGAGUACUCUAAUGACUACGAGUGUGGUUCUCUCUCUAGUGCCUAUAUCUGAGUAUAGUAUUUUGAGAUCUAGAGUUCAUACUUCUUCUAUGAUGUGUCCUCAGGUGGGUUCUCAGCCAACUAGAUUUACUAUGCUUUCCUAUUAUUACAAUUACACCAUGUCUUCUGGAGAUCAGAAGAGUAUUAACAGAUAUACUCAUUUGGGUCCUCCUAGAUUCAGUGGUGCUAUAGGUGAGGAUUCCUAUGAGUUCUUGAUGUAUUACUGUGAAAAGUUACAUAUCCAUUAUUUGAUCAAGAAACAUGGGGUUGCUUAUUAUUCUUACUAGUUGAGAGAUGCAACCAGAGAUUUAUGGAAGAUACUUAGUGGUUGCCAACCUCUUUGUUCACCAAAGAUUAUUUGGGAUUAGUUACAAAGGACUUUUUAGAUAGAUUUGCUCCUUUUAGUUUAGGGAUUAGAUGAGAUAUGACUUUCAUUGCUUGGAGCAGUGCUCCAUAACUGUUGUAGAGUAUGAGGCAUGUUUGUAUGCCUUGUUUAGAUAUUUUUAUGCAAUUAUUUCCACCGAGUAUGAGAAGAUUUAGAAGAUCUUUAAGGAGUUGAAUGUUUCUCUUCAUCUUGUUAUGACCUAAAUCGUAGUUUAUGGAGCAUCGUUUCAAAGUACUGUGGAUCAUUCUAAAAUAAUUGAGUCUAUUCUUCAAGCAUCUCAUGGGGAUGAUAUGAAGGUGCAUCAUUUGGGUAAAUUCAGAAGUCACCUAUCUUGAGGUAGAGAUUCUAGAGGCUUUCAUGGGUAUUAAGGUAGACUGGUAAUAACAACCCUAUAUAGUUCAAGUAGUGGGUCUUCCAAUAUGGCAACUGCAGCUAGUCAUUCUAGUUCAGCCAUACCUUCUUCCAUUGAGCUAGGCCAUGGGGUUUCUUUAUCUGUAGUUCGACUGGGUAUAAGGCCAGGGACUGUUCCUGCCAUGUUUUUUGAGUUACUCAUAUAUCAAUUAUGAAAGGUAGAGGAAGUGGUACCUAUAAUGGUAGUCGUAGGGCUAUGUGGCUAGAUAUUGGACAUGGUCAAUGUUAUGUUAUACCUGCUAGACUAGAGGCGGAGGCCUCCGACGCUAUUAUUUCAGUUAGCAUCCCUAUUUAUUUCAGAUCGGCAUCUACGAUUUUUUAUCAAGGAUCGACUUUCUCCUAUGUGUCUUCAUAUUUUUCUUUGGGUUCUCAUUAUACUUGUGAUCCUUUUGAUUUGCAUAUUCAUGUAUCUACCUCCAUAGGACACUUUUUAAUGGUGGAUCGGGUGCACCAAUCAUGUGUUGUGGUUUUUGCUGGGCGUGACACCUGAAUUGAUUUUAUUGCAUUAUAUAUGGUAGAUUUUGAUGUCAUCUUGGGUAUGUAGUGGUAGCUCCUUAUCAUUUUAUCCUAUAUUGUUAUGCUAAGACCGUGACUUUAGCUUCAUCGCAUGUGCCAAGGAUAGCUUUAAAGAGUGUGCUUCAUUCGGGGCCCAAGAGAGUUAUAUUGUUUCUUCAAGCUCAUUGUUUAUUUGAGAGGGGGUGUUUGUCUUAUUUGGCUCAUAUUAAUGAUACUAGGUGUUAUUUCACCUCCCUUCUUAGAUUUUAUUCAUAUUGUUUGUGAGUUUGUGGAUGUUUUCUCUGCGGAUUUGUCUGGUAUGCCUCCAGAUUGUGAUAUUGACUUUGGCAUUGAUGUUGAGUUAGGCCCCAAGCCAUUUUCUAUUCCCCCUUAAGUAUGGCCCCAACUGAGAUGAAGGAAUUAAAGUAUCAAUUACACGAGUUAUUGGAUAUGUGGUUUAUCUGACCUAGUGUAUCACUUUGUGUGCCUGCCUUUUUCUAAAGAAAAAUGAUGGGUCGAUGCGUAUAUGUAUUGAUUAUCGGCAUGUGAAAUAGGUGACAGUUAAGAAUAAGUAUCCUGUUCCUCGUAUUGAUGAUUUGUUUGACUAGUUUUCGGGUGCUUCGGUGUUGUCACAACCUGAGAUUACCCCUUAGGCGUAACAUGAUGCCUAAUGGAACAAGUAUCCCCAAGAUAGCCCAUGAUCUAGUAUCUUCUGUGAGCAUUGAAUAAACAUCAUAUGUGGAAGCUAAACUAAUGAAAACUCCAAUAAGAUAUAAUAUUGAAACAAUACCCAACAUGUCUGAAUUUUGAUAAAAUUGGAAACAAGUAGACUAUCUGAAAGCCUCUAAACUUAGGGAUUUGAUGGGACAAACCACCAACUAACUCCUACUAACUAAAAUAAAGAACGUACCAAAAAUAACUGCAAUGGACAUUUCCCUCGAAGGAUGAGGACUCACCAUAACUAUGAUCGGGUGUCACCCGAAAUGACUAAGGGCGAUCAGGGAACUUAGGAUCCAAACUUAUGUUAUAAGAAAAUCAUAGCACAAAAGAGAGUAUGUAAUCAGUCCUUUGAAUGUACUGGUACAUGAGAUAGGGACAACUGAAAUACAUAUAAGUACUGAGCAUAAAUUCAUGAAUACGUAAAAUGAAUGCAAGACCAAGUAAAACAUGUGCUGAAAUAAUCUGUAAAAAAUGCAUAACUAAUUAACUAUUAAACUGGGCCCUUGGUCAUGCAAACCUGAGAUGACAUAGUCUAAAUACUGAACUGGGACUGUGGGAGCUAACAUUUAAUGGACAUGCCCAAAUCUGAGCUAAUCGAUGUCCAUCCUAUAACUGCAGUUGGAAAGGUGCAAAUACCUUGCCACGAGUAGUGACACUAAUGGUGUGGAUCCGCAAAACUAUGUCCCAACGGACGGCGUGUCACCCUAAACUUAUAGGUGCCCCCAGGAGAGUAUCAACACUAAGCUGGCAGGAAAACCUCUGAUAACCUCUACUGGCUAUGUAUUUCUGGAACAUAGGGACAACUACUAAAGUUCUCACCCUAAGUUUGAAUAAAAGGCUUCAUUCCUAAAUUAGCUCGGUGCUAAGUUGUACUCAUAACUAAACAUACACAGAAGCAUAAGCUAGUACAUGCACUGAUAAUAGAUUUGCUCAAAUAUGGUAUUCUGAGAAUAACAAUGCAUGCAUAAUCUAAAAUAAUCAUGAUCAUGUUAACUGAUGUAUUUAGCAUUAUAUCAUACUAGUGAGUGCUCAUACUGAAAAAGUUAUAAAUUUUAUGUACAAACAUUGUCUGAAUAACUUGAAAUCCUUAAAACUGUGGCACACAUGAUCAUCUAGGUAUUAUGUGUUCGUAAGCCACCGGCAUUUACAAUACAAUUUAAACACGAUAUCUUCCAAGUAAUGACAUGAUAAGAAUUUUCAUAACUUAAACUAAUGAAUGGAACAAUUUCAUCGAUUUAAUGAAUCAUCGUUAUUAGAGUACGAAAGAAUACUUGAAAUUAUGAGGGAACACUGUUUCAUGGUUUAAUUUAGAAAUUACAAAGAGGAAUCAUGGAAUUUAUAAUUGUCAUGGAAUCCUAAAUUAAAAGGGAAACUAAAAUUGAAAAUUAGUGAAAACUUUGUGACUCAAUGGGAGAAAAGAGCCUAUUUAUGAAUAUACCACAUACCUGAGUUGCUUGAAUUCUUGAAGGGAAUUUGAAUUUGAGGACUUGGGAGUGUGAAUUCAUUGAAGAGAUAUUUUGAUUUUGGUGUUCUUUAGAGUGGAAGGAGUUUGAAUGUCGUUAACUUCUGAUGAAUAGGGCAUAUAAUGUCACCUUUGGGAUUAUAGUUGUGAAUUGGGUGCUUAAGGAGAUGAAAGGGACAAAAAUGCCCCUUUAACUUUGAGGAAGGUUGUCCGAUUUUACACUGCUGCGUGGCAUGGUACCUUUUGCAGAGGCCAGCCUCUGUGACAUGCUGCCUAUUAUGGUGGUUAACCUCCUGAAAAGCUAUGUAUCAUGGAAACUAACCUCAAUGGAACAUUGAAAAUGCAGAGGCAUACUACCUCCGUGGUCCAAAAUCACCCCAAACCCAUUCCAAAAUUUCAAAACUCUCAUGGAUGACCCUUUUAGCAUUCCUAAAUAUAUUUCAACUCAUAAAUUAAUGUUUUAAGCACAAGAAUUCCAAAAAUCAAAUACUAGAGAUCUUGGGGUGUCAAAAUGUCCGUGCAACUUGUACUUACAGUGAAAUAAUUGCUUUGGAGACCUUUAAACAUAUGACUAAUAACUUUGAACUUAUCUAGGAUCUUGUGGGGUAUUACAAUAUCUCUCCCUUGGGAUCAUUCAUCCCAGAAUGAAACUGUCCGACUGAGAUACUAGGAAUACAGAGAUCAUGCACCGAAUAAUUAUGAGCUGAAUCAUGAUUAAAUAAUUGAGUCUGAAACAUAAUGCAUGGAUUAAACUGAAUUUAUGAAUGCAUGCUAUGACAUGAGGAUGGUUGGAUAACAGAGAUAGCAUACUAGAGAAUCAAUUUAAGAGAAACCAUUACCUCAAAAUGAAUCUGUAUUUGUAGAGAGAAGAUGGGGAUACUUGGCUAACAUAUCGAUUUCUCUUUCCCAAGUAGCUUUCUCUACGGACUAAUUUCUCCAUAGAGAUUUAACCAAGGAGACUUUCUUAUACCUCAAUAUACGAACCAGAUAGUCAUGGAUUUCAACUGGAAAUUCUUCAUAGAAGAGGCUAUCUUUCACACCCACACUCUCUAAAGGUACGACUGAAGCUGGAUCACCAAUACGUUACUUUAGUUAGGAGAUAUGAAACAGUAGGUGCACUAAUGCUAUCUUUACAGGUAACUUUGACUCAUAAGCUACCUUCCCAAAGUGACUCAAUAUCAUGUAUAGGCCAAAAUAGAGGGGUCUGAGAGUGCACUUAUUACUAAACCUCUUCACCCCUUUCAUGGGAAAAAAUUUCAAAUAAACUAAGUCAUCAUCAUCAAACUCAAGAUCUCUUCUCCUCACAUCAGCAUAGGAUUUCUAUCGACUUUGGGCUAUCUUUAGCCUUUAUCGAAUCAACUAAACUUUCUCCAUCUCCUGAUAUAUUGAAUUUGUCACUAUUAAGGCAGACUCACAUACUUCAAACCAACCAAUAGGAGAUAUUACCUCAUUCCAUAGAGAGUCUUAAAUAGAGCUAUAUGAAUACUGGAGUGAUAUUUUUUGUUAUAGGUAAACUCAAUCAAAGAAAAGUGGACAUACCAACUACCCUUAAAGUCUAUAACACAAGAUAUCAACAUAUCCUCUAAGGUAUGUAUAGUCCUCUCUACCUGAACAUCUGUCUUAGGAUUAAAAGUUGUACGAGAUAGAUUUGGGUACUAAGACCCUUCUGAAAAGCCUUCCAAAAAUGAGAGCUAAAUAGAGUAACUCUAUCUAAGAUGAUGGUUAAUAGAACCCCAUGAAAUUUUACAAAAUCACUGAGAUAGAGUAUAGCAUAAUCCUCAAUUGAAUACAAAGUGUGAACUAGCAAGAAAUAGGCUUACUUGGUCAUUCUAUCUACAAUAACCCAAAUUGAUUUAUCCUGACGACGCAUACAAGGUAGCCUUGUAACAAAAUCCGUGUUAACAACCUACCACUUCCAAGUGGGGAUGCUGAACUACUGAAGCGUACCACUAGUCCUUUGGUGCUCAACCUUAACCUACUGAUAAUUCAAACACUUAUCCAUAAAUUCUGCAAUAUCAUUCUUCAUACUAUUUCACCAAUAGACUUCCAAAUCAUGGUAUAUCUUCAUGUAUUCUAGGUAAAUAGAAUAUCAUACAACAUGUUCUUCUUCUAAUAGUCAUUAUCUUUAACCGUCUACACUUAAAACAAAAAACCAUCCUAAACAACGUAGCAUACCAUCUCUCUCUUGGGAGAUAACCUCAACUCUCUAAUCCCGAACUGCCUUCUUCAACUUUACUAAAAUAGGAUCCCUAUCUUGCUUUUCCCUUGCAGCAGAAAUAAGGGAAGUCUCCAAACCAUUCUUAACCCAUAUACUACCUUCAUUCGAAUUAACUAAUCUAACACCCAACCUAGAAAUUUGAUGAACAUCACAGACUAACUCUUUUUUACCUUCCUCAAUAUUAGUAACACUUGCCUUAGAAAAUCUACUAAGGUCACCGGCCGCUACAUUGUCCUCAAACAGGUGAUACUACACACUCAUAUCAUAGUCCUUCAACAAUUCAAGCCACCUUCUUUGAUGAAGAUUUAGAUCCUUCUGAGUGAAAGGAAACUUUAAAAUUGUAUGAUGCAUGAUCACGUCAACAUAAACCCUAUAUAGGUAAUGCCUUAAAUUCUUUAAGGCAAAGAGAAUUGUUGCCAACUUAAUAUCAUGGGUAGGGUAAUAUUUCUUAUGGGGUUUAAGCUUCCUAAAGGCAUAGCCUAUGACCUUACCUCACUGCAUCAAUACACAUCCAUGACCAACUCUAAAAUAAUCACAAUAAACUACUAAGCCAUAUGAACCCUCAAGUAUAGUCAAUACUGGAGAAGAAGUGAGUUGAGUAUUCAACUCCUGAAAACUCUUCUUGCAGGAAUCAAACCACUAAUAUUUGACUUUUUUCUACGUUAGUCGAGACAUGGGAGAAGCAAUAGAAGAAAAUCCUCUAACAAACCAUUUGUAGUAAUAGGCUAAACCAAAGAAAUUUUUUAUAUCAGUUGGAGAGAUGGGCCUAGUCCAUUUUCUCACUGUUUUGGUCUUUUGAUGAUCAAAUCGAAUUCCAUUAUCAAAAAUGAUGUGACCAGGGAAUGCUACUGACCUCAACCAAAAUUCACACUUGAUAGACUUAGUGAAUAACUGGUUAUCCUUAAAGGUCUGCAAUACAAUUCUCAAAUGCUCUUCAUGAUCAUAUUUACAACUAGAAUAGACAAGGAUGUUAUCUAUGAAAACUAUGACAAACAUGUCCAUGUUCUGCUGGAACACCCUAUUUAUCAAGUCGACAAAAUCUACAGGAGCACUCAUUAGUUCAUAAGACAUAACUAGAAUUUUAAAGUGACCAUAAUAAGUUCUGAAGGUUGUCUUCAGGAUGUCACAUUCUCUAACUUUAAGCUAAUGAUUGUCGAAUCUGGGAUCUAUUUAUAGAAAUAGCUUACACUCUGAAGUUGGUAAUAUAUGUCAUCAAUCCUGGGGAGAGGAUUCUUAUUUUUAAUUGUGACUUUGUUUAACCGAUGGUAGUCGAUACAUAUUCUAAGGGACCCAUCUUCCUUACACACGAACAGAAUUCAAACACCCCAUAGAGAAAUGCUAGGCCUGAUAAAACCCUUAUCUAAAAGAUCUUUCAACUAUUUCUUCUAUUCACUAAGCUUCACUAGAGCUGUUCUUCUAGGUGAAAUUGCAAUAGGCUGGGUAUCAGGGAGGUGAUCUAUUCCAUAGUAGAUUUCCCUCAAGGGAGGAACUCCAGGAAAAUCCUUAAGAAACACUUUUGGAAACUCAUUCACUAUGAGAACUGACUCUAGACUCAGAGUUUUACAAUUUAAGUCCUUAACUAAGAUGAGAUAGUAAAUCCAAACCUUGGAUAUUAUUUUUCUUACCUUAAGAUAGGAGAUAAAGUGACCUAUAGCCAAUAAGGUACUAUCCCUUUAUUUUAUAAAGGGCUCAUUAGGGAACUCAUACUGGAAAAUUCUAUUUCUUCAAUCAACUGAGGCAUAGCAUGAGUGGAGCCAAUCCAUGCCGAGAAUUACACCAAAAUCAAUCAUCUCUAAUUCUACAGGGUCUACUAAGAUAACUUUUUGAGAUAUUGUGAUCGGCAAAUUUAUAUAUACCAAUUCCAAGAGUAAAUUACUAUGGCAUUAUAAAAUGAUAUCGUCUUACCUGCUAUAGCUUGCAAGUAAUGUCAUUAGCCAACACUUAGGGGAUUCCCAUGUACCCCACAAGAUUUCAAAUUAAACAAAAACCAUUGCCAUAAAGGACUUUUCCAAACCAUUUAAAUCCAACCAAACCAAUUUAAGUUCCAUUACCAUAUUAUGCAAUGCAAAGAAUUCAAGAAUAGUCAAACUAUAUGACAAAAUUAUCCUCAUUGGCAUUUUAACAAACAUGUUAAGGGAAUAUAGUUUCCAAAAUAAAAAAUCAUGUGGCAAUUGACCAUUCCCAUGCAAUCACAUAUUCAAACCAUAAUUAUAAUAUGAAAACCGUAAGAAAAACAUGGGAAAAGAUUAUCCAACCAAUAACAACCAAAACCACUAAUGUGCAUUUAAAACUCAAAAUAAAUCCAUAAUAACACCAUUAAAACCAUUCAUUAAAACAGGCCUUAAGUUUAACUAAUAAUGAGGGAGGAGUAACAUGCCUUAGAAAAAAAGGAAGAAAGACAGAAACCACCCCUUUAGAGCUUUAAUUGAUUUUGUUGAAGAAAAUCUUGGCCUUUCUUAAACCAGGAGCUUAAGAGAGAUUUGAGAGUAUUUAGACAGUUUUUUGAAUAAGAAUAAUAGGUUAAGAAAACCUCCAAAGGUGUUUUAUGUUGUGGGUUUAAGAGAAAUUAAAAGGCUCGAUACCAAGAAUACCCCCAAAUUAAACUAUAAAAAAGAACAAAAGAGGGUACGGUUGGACCCCUCAACUUGUAUCCACAUUAUACGAGUGAAACCCUCUACUCAUAUAUUGAUCCGAAAGUUAGACACCACAUUCUGUCCAACAUACGACUCCUUAGCCUAAAUUGUACCAUCACCAUACGACAAGUACCCUUCAUAGUGUACACUAAGAAGGACAUCAAGGCUCGAAACUGUACAACAUAUGGAUGGACACCAUACCCCUCAUAUCAUGAACAUAUGACUCGUCACCACCAACCCAUAACCACAAUAAAAACUCAACCACCAAGUACUUGACACCCUACUAGUUGGUCACCUGACCCGUACCCACACUAUACGACUAAUAUGGCAAGUUGUAUGAUGAUCUAAAAGCUCAAGAGUCGCAAAAUUUGCAAGGGCUAGAACCCAAGGUGUUUUAAUUCACCCCACUAUGAUAAUUCAUCCUUGAAUGGUGGAACAAGGAAGUACAAGAAUGAUUAAACACCCCAAACAUCUCUAAUCUCACCUUUAAUAUAGAAAACAAAACACCAGGGAAUUCACUUUUUUACCUUUAACAGAGACAGAUAACACAGAACUUAAGAAUCAACACGUACCUUGAGCAUAAAUUUUUGAACCGAGAAUAGGAACGGAAACUUAAACUUCAUCUCUUUUUCAUCAUUCCAUGUAGCCUUUUCUAUUUUGUGGUUCAUCCAUAGAACCUUUAUCGAGGCCAUAUCCCUGGUACGCAACCGAUGAACCAUAUAAUCUAAGAUCUCAACCGACAUUUGUUCAUAAGAUAAAAAAUCAGAAAUAUUAAUAUCCUUGACAAGAACAAUGUUCGAUGGAUCACUAAUACACUUCCUUAAUACAGACCCAUAGAAUACUAGGUGAAUGGAGCACAAGCUAGUAGGCAACUCUAACUCAUAUGCAAUAUUGCCAACCUUCCUCAAAAUCACGUACGUACUAACUUACCAGGGACUGAUCUUCCCCUUCAUCCCAAGCCUCAUAACUUCAUUCAUGGGAGACACCUUCAAGAAUACCAUAUCCCCAACCUUAAACUCCAACUUCCUUCACUUUACAAUCUCAUAGGAAUUUUGGAGACUUUGGGUAGCCUUAAGCCUAUCUCGAAUCACCUUCAACUUCUCCUUCGCUUGGUGAACCAAUUCCUGGCCAAAUAUAUCCGCCUCACAAAGCUCAAACCACCUAAUAAUAGACUUACACCUCCUACCAUACAAUGGCUUAUAUAGAGAAAUCUCAAUGCUAGAGUAGUAGCUAUUAUUAUAUGCAAACUCUACAAGAGGUAGGUGCUCAACCCAACUACCACCAUAGUCAAUCACGCAAACAUAGAUCAUAUCCUCUAAUAUUUAAAUGGUCCUUUCUUCAUGCCCAUCUGAUUGUAGGUGGAGAGAAGUACUAAGAAUCACCUUGGUCCCCAAACCUUUCUAAAAUAACUGCCAUAAGUGAGAUAAAAACUGCAUAACACAAUCAGAGAUGUUAGAAACAGGUAAACUAUGCAACUUUAUAAUCUCUUAGAGGUGCAACCUUGCAUAAUCCUCAGUAGAGAAGUUAGUCCUUACUGGAAAGGAAUGAGUAGACUUUGUCAUCCUAUCCUCAAUGACCCUAACCGAAUCAAACUAAUUCAGAGACUAAGAAAGAUUGGUAAUAAAAUCCAUAUUAAUCACUUCCCAUUUCAAAAUAGGCAACUUAAUUUCUCCAUACAAUCCUCCAGGUUUUAUGUUCUCAACUUUCACUUACUAGCACACUAUGCAUGUAGCCAUAAAAUUAGCCAUAGCCCGCUUCAUAUUGCUAAACCAAUACAUCACCUUGAGGUUAUGAUACAUUUUCAUCAAACCAAGAUUAACAACAUAGUGUGACUCAUGCUUCUCAACCAAAAUCCUCUCACAUAAACCAUCUACAUUAGGAACAUAUAAGAGUCUAAGAGGCGAACUCUAAGGUUAGCCAAACGGUGAAUGUCCUUCACCAGCACCCGCUUCCCUUAAUCCACAUGCACUAUACUCUCCAUAAAUAACCUGUUAAGAGCAUCAACAACCAUGUUAGCUUUACCUGGGUAGUAGUGAAGACUAAUAUCAUAUUCUUUGAAAAUCUUAAGAUAUCUACUUUUCCUAAGGUUAAGUUCUUUCUUAGUAAACACAUGUUGCAGGAUCGUAUAAUAAAAAAAGAUAUCAACAUACACCAUAUACAAAUAGUGACAUCACACUUUCAAUGCGAAUACCACAGCUAGCAGUUCUAAAUCAUGAGUCAGAUAGUUCUUCUUAUGCACCUUUAACUAUCCAUGACACGACCUGACCUUGGGCCUUGUCAUAAUAACUAUCUAAAUUCAAACCAAGAUCAGGGAUGGCCACCUAUUACCCUACCCAACCACCUAUAUCUAGCCUUAGAUGAGGUAAAUUUUGAACAUAUAACAAAUAGGAUUAUUGUUCCCAUUAUGACUCUGGGAUAGGGUCACAACCAUGACCGAUCCAAUCGAGUCCAACUAUACUACAACAACCGCCCAAUCAUACCAAACCAAACCAUAGACCAUUAACCAAAAAGGAAUACUAAAACAUAAUAUAAAAAUCAAUCCCAAAAUAUUGUAUGAUGGAACGGUAAGGAAUAAUGUCUGAUGAUGCCAACCUCAAUAUUAAUACCAAUUCUAAGGCUGACACCUCUAACGAUACCGCCCAUACCAACCCCCAUAAGUACCACAAAGACUCUACCCAGAUGAAUUAAUAAAUUUGAUUGGGACAUGCCUCCAGCCAUGGUCCAAACGAAAAUCCAAAAUAAAAGAUAAGUGUUUAAAUAAAUCCAUAACAUAAAAUUAUGCCUUCCGAAAGGAAGAAAGCUCACCACUUCAGUCCAAAUGCUCAUACCAAAUUUGCAUACUAAACAGGACAAGUAGAAUGGUUGGUUCUUACAUAGUGUAGGUGUACAACCACUAAUAGAUAGGGUUAGCAAAUUAUUGCUACCAUAAAUCUAAGGAUAAGGAUAAAAUAAUGUCACUCAUAAAACCAAGUAAAACCAUCCAUAAUGCAUGCAAGUAUACAUAUAAAGAUGCUGGAAAGGGAACCAGGUUUAGCAUGAAUUUAAAAUAUUUACCUGGGUUGUAUAGCUUUGUCAUCCUAACCACCGACCGACCAUAUGGGUUCAACCCACCUGCUGAGAAGGACCCAGUAAGUGUAGCUGCAUAGCCAGGGAAUAUCCCAUAGGAUGAAUAGUACAUCCCCUAUAUAAAAUUAUAAAAUAUGACACAUGUACAUGGUCAUCAAUACCCCUUAUAUCGACAACUAUGAGUUUCUAAUUUUUUUCCUCCUAAGACCACCACCUUCCACGGCUUAGCUACAUACCCCUCCAUUGAUACCCAAUUAAAACCAUGUCCAAAAAUUCUAUUUACAAUUUAUUAACCAAGGACAAUAUUAGUGGUAUCGUCAUACCACCCCAUUACUUGCAAGUAAUAUCCAUAGCUAAACUAUUUAGGUUAAGGGGACCUUAGGUGCCCUUCCAAGUUUCAUAUUAAAUCUAUUUAGAAGACUUCCAUGUUCUGCAUAAACUUAGCAAUUUAUCCUUUAGCCUUUUUAAAGCAUUUUAACCAUGCAUAAAUCAUUUAUCCAGUUUAAAACAUGAAAGAGUUGUAUUGAAAGAAGUUAAUGCAAUGAACUUUUCGUUAUAAGUUUUUUAUCAAACACCUUGUGGGUAUAAUAUAACCAAAACCAAUUCAAAAGACUCUUAAACCAUUACCAUUCAAUCCAACUAUCCAAAACCACCAUUAAUGAUAUCAGUCUUGUAAACCAUGCCUUUAAAUAAAAUUACAAUAAUGGAAGGGAAUCAUGUCUUAUACCGAAGAAUUGAUGAAAAUAAAUAGCCAAAGAAAGCCCCAAAGCAAUUUGUACGAUGAAACCCUAGCCUUUUUUCCCUAAAAGCUCUUGAGAGAAUUAAUUAGAUAUUUUUGAAUAGUUUCUAAGUGUUAAUGAUUAAAAUAAUAGGGUAAAUAACCUCCUAAAUACAUUAGAAGUCAUUGGUCCUAGUUAAGGUGAGUAGGGAAAUGUCAAGAAUAUACCUACUUAAGUCCCUUAAAAUCUCAUCACAAGGAUACGACUGACCCAUACGAAUCAUACCCUCCGAUACGAUUGGUAUCCACCAUUCGUAUCCAAGCCUCAACCCUUGGAUCAAUCAUUGUCCAGUAUAUGACUCAUCCAACAAAGUCGUAACCACAACAUAUGAUUCGUACCCAUGACCAGUAUCCCUAGCAGAAUAAAAUACUAGGAGGAUCAAACAUUUCCCACUAUAUGUGUAACACCCCAUAUUUUAGGCUACAAUAUAGACCAUGAUUCUGAUGGAUUGAUAAUCUCGAAGCCAUAAAUCCUAUUCUAAUAUGGCAUAUUAAUUAUUUGCAUAGUAUGUGAAUCCAUUCAUACUUGAAUUUAGACCAUAGAGGUCCUUUGACUCAAGGACGAGUUGAAAACUACUUCGAUCGAUUAAGUUUAAGCGGAUAUUAUAAUUUAUGUCAAAUUAUAUCGACCAUUACUCUUUGUAUAUGUCGAAUUAUAGAGCCUACUAUGAGUAAAAUGAUAGGUUUUUGAGUUAGCUUUCCAACGAUACCAAUUAUUCAAAAAUCCAGCACUCGAGCAAGAAGUUAUGGCUUUUAAAAGUAGUAUGCAUUGGUUAACCAAUCGCGCAUGAACACUGAAAAGCAUAUGCGGAGCCUAUGUAAACAUAGGCGAUAGCAUUGGCGACGCCUAUGUGAAUAAAGGCGAUAGCAUAGGCGGUGCCUAUCUAAACAAAGGCGAUAGCAUAGGCGGCGCUUAUGUAAAAAUAGGAGAUAUCAUAUGCAGCAUCUAUGUAAUAGUUUCAAGUGACUUAAACACUAUGUUUUUGGGGAAAAAUGGUCCUUUUCCCACCCUUAUUCAGCCAUAAAAAAAAAAUCCAGUCCUCAAUUCUCCAAAAUACAUCCACAUUCAUCUAAAAAUUCUCAAGAACAUUCCCAAGGGUUUCAAACUAAAAACCCAAAUAACUCAAGAUUCAACUGUGGGUUUUCAAAAUCGAUUAGAGAUUUGGAAUCCCCAAUCCACAGGCUUCAUGAAGCACCCAUUAUUUUCCGAAAUAGAGGUACGUGGGGUUUUCCUAAAUUCUCAUGGGCAUAGAAAAAUCAUGUUUUAGAAUGGGAUUUUUGAAUCUAUAUAUAUUCAUGUAUUAAAUAUUUUAACAUUAUUUUUUUGAUCUUUUGACCUUCCCCAAAGUGAUUAGACAAUAUGAAUGUAUGAAACCAUGUAUUUAAGAAUUGAUUCUUGUUGAGAGCAUGAUUUUUGGUGAAUUCCCUCUUAUUAUAAAUUUUUUAGAUUUCUCAUAGCAUAUGAAUUGUUUUGCAAUGCAUCCUUGAAAAACACUAUAUGAAAUAAUUGAACUAUUGUUAUAAUUUAUAGGUGGUUUUAAAUCACUAAAGAGGGAAUCUAGCAUAAAUAUUUAAUGUUCAAGAUGUCUGUAAUGAAAGAGCGCAUGGAUUUGCUAAAGGCACUAGACCACCAUAUGUUGAUGAAGCUUUUUGCAUGAUUUUGACUUGAGUUUUGAAACAUGAAAUAUUCUAUAUCAGUUGCAUUUUUUUGGUGGUCUAAAUUAUUCUUUAAAUGAAAGAUCUAGCUUAAUGUAUUAUGAAGAUACCAAUUUAGACCAAUGCCAUAUUAGACUCAGACUAAUAGACAUGUCAUACUAUCAUAAUUUUAGAUAUUUAGAAUAUUGCAUGUACAGAAAAGGUUAAAAAUGGGCAUACAAAUAUGUUAGGUGGUUCCAUGAAGAAGGAUUGAGUUCAAGCAACUCAUUUCCUAAAAUCGUGGUUUGCCGACCUAGGUAUAUUAUUAUACGCCGACUUAAGUGUCGUAUGGUGUAUAAGAUUUAGGAACUCCAACCCUUGUGGCAUACUCAGGUUGGAGGCUUCCCCGCUGAGUCAAUGGCAGAUUCCAUAUCUCCCGUAGAAUAUCAUACUUGUAGGGGAUACCACGUAAUUCAAAAGUAAUACACAGAUUAGAGUUUGAGAUUUACAGAUAGGUUACAUGUUUUCAAAAGAUGCCCAUGUGUUUUUAAAAACUAUUUUAUGCAUUAUUUUUGAUGAAAAUUUGCUCUCACGUAUUAUAUAUAUAUACAUAUGUUCAAUUACUCUAUUUUGGAUUGCUUCAUGUUCAAGUAUAAUUGUGCUGACCCCCCUCCUAACAGGUUCUGAGGCAAAGUCUAGGGGUCUAGAUAAAUAGUAGAGAUUUCAGAUCACAGACCAGAGUUUACAGUGGUGAGCCUUCUAUGAUUCAGAAGGCCUGGUUAUGUCAUAUUACUACUAUUAAUUAGGUUUUGGUCUACUGGGCCUUAUCCCAGCUCUCAGACAACUUUGAUUUGUUCAUGGUAGAGAGUUCGUAGACUGAGUCAGACAUUAUUAUUCAGAUGUAUUUUGGAUUUCAGUUUUCAAUAUUAUGAUCACAUUCUGAUUGACUAUGUUUCCGUAUUAGAUUUCUCUUUCCAUAUUACCUUUUGUCAUAUGAAUUAUGUGCAUGAUUACCAGAUAGAUAAAGAAGGGUGUUUUGGGCCUUUAUGGUUUGGGAUGCUCAUCACGGCUAGGGCCCUAGCUCAGGUUAUGAAAAACUUACGAAAUCGCAUCGGGUAUAGUCUUGGUUAUGGGUAUGUAGCACACCAAACUUAUAAGAAAGAGGCUAAUAGGCAUUUAGGAAAUAUUUUCCUUCUUUGUGAUUUAGUUCAUGCUUCAGAGUCUGAACUGUCCCCUAAUCAAUGAUCUCUUGUAUUUCAGAAACACAGUUAUGCCUCCAUGUCGUAUCAUCAAUAAGAAUGCUCAGGAAGAUGAGGUCCGUCCCACCUAUGGGAUGUGGACUCAUAGUAGAGCUCACCCUCCAAACCUUGUCCCUACUCUGGGAGUCCCUCCAGUCCCGACUAGUCCACUUCAGGCUCUGCGGACUGAUGACAACUGUCCCUCAACUACUCAGAGAGAUAUUUUAAAUGCAGAAUUCAGAGAAUCUAUUCAUAUUCUGACAUAGUUGGUAGCUAACUAGGCUCAACGAUUAGAAGCUGUUGGGUCUACAUCUAUUAUAUUUGAGGCUACUAGGGUUGGACAUUUCAUGAAAAUGAACCCUCGUAAGUUCACUAGCACCAAGGCAGAGGAAGAUCCACAAGAGUUUAUGGAUGAGAUGGAAAAAGUCUUUAAGGUAAUACAUGGGGAUAAGGUUAAAGGGGUGGAACUAUAAGCUUAUAGCUUAAGGGUGUUGCAAAUUAGUGGUAUGGAAACUGGGAGGAUGCAAAAGGUGACAGUGCUAAGACCACAGUUCGGGUAGAAUUUGUGGAACCUUUCCUUAAUCAAUUCUUUUCUCUGGAGUUGAGGAAGGCCAAAGCGAAAGAGUUUAUAAAUCUGAAGCAGGGCAGUAUGAGUGUCCAGGAGUAUAUUUUGAAGUUUAAUAAACUAGCCCGCUAUACACCAGAGUUGACUAGUAAUAUGAGAGCCCAGACAAGGAAAUUUGCAUUCGGCCUUUCUGAUAACCUAGUGCUUGAGUGUCAGGGGAAAUGUUUAAUAAGGAGUUAGACUUUGCUAGGCUGACCAUUCAUAUACAAUAGGUAGAAGAGAAAAAGAAGAAGAUCUCUAAAGCUAGAGAGGUGGAAAGACAAGCGAAAAGAGCAAGAUCAGCCGACUAGAGUCACAUUCAGUCUUAGGGCAGUAAGUGGGGAAAUAAAUGGCAAAAAAAGAAGAAUUGGGGUAAUGCGCAGUCUCCUGCCAGCGCCCCAGUACCCCGACCACCAGCAGACAGAUGAUCUUAGAGUUUUUAGACUAACCCUGGAACCAGAUAUUAGGAUACUUAGUCCCAGGGUAGUGUGUCUCAGUAAUAUCAUACUUUUCCGUGGUGUGAGGCUUGUGGUAUAAAUCAUCCUGGAAGGUGUCAGUUGGGCUCGUUAGUGUGUUAUUCAUGUGGUCAGCUAGGUCACUUUUAGAGGGAAUGUCCAUCAGCUAGAAAGAAUGUUAGUGGUGUUAAGUCUUACGCAAAUUCUUUGGCACCACCCUCGCCUUGGAAGGGCACCGCAUCAGCUGCUGAGAACAGUCGCAACCGGUUAUAUUCUUUGACCACUCGCCAGGAGAUGGAAGCUUGCCCAGAUGUUAUUAUGGUACGUUAUAAAUCUUUUCCAAUGAUUUUUAUGUGUUACUUGAUCCCAGAUCUACCUUAUCCUAUGUGACCCCGUAUGUGGCUGUUGGUUUAGGGUUUGAGCCCAAUGUGAUUUCUGAGCCCUUUUCUAUUUCCACCGUAGGGGAUACCACGUAAUUCAAAAGUAAUACACAGAUUAGAGUUUGAGAUUUACAGAUAGGUUACAUGUUUUCAAAAGAUGCCCAUGUGUUUUUAAAAACUAUUUUAUGCAUUAUUUUUGAUGAAAAUUUGCUCUCACGUAUUAUAUAUAUAUACAUAUGUUCAAUUACUCUAUUUUGGAUUGCUUCAUGUUCAAGUAUAAUUGUGCUGACCCCCCUCCUAACAGGUUCUGAGGCAAAGUCUAGGGGUCUAGAUAAAUAGUAGAGAUUUCAGAUCACAGACCAGAGUUUACAGUGGUGAGCCUUCUAUGAUUCAGAAGGCCUGGUUAUGUCAUAUUACUACUAUUAAUUAGGUUUUGGUCUACUGGGCCUUAUCCCAGCUCUCAGACAACUUUGAUUUGUUCAUGGUAGAGAGUUCGUAGACUGAGUCAGACAUUAUUAUUCAGAUGUAUUUUGGAUUUCAGUUUUCAAUAUUAUGAUCACAUUCUGAUUGACUAUGUUUCCGUAUUAGAUUUCUCUUUCCAUAUUACCUUUUGUCAUAUGAAUUAUGUGCAUGAUUACCAGAUAGAUAAAGAAGGGUGUUUUGGGCCUUUAUGGUUUGGGAUGCUCAUCACGGCUAGGGCCCUAGCUCAGGUUAUGAAAAACUUACGAAAUCGCAUCGGGUAUAGUCUUGGUUAUGGGUAUGUAGCACACCAAACUUAUAAGAAAGAGGCUAAUAGGCAUUUAGGAAAUAUUUUCCUUCUUUGUGAUUUAGUUCAUGCUUCAGAGUCUGAACUGUCCCCUAAUCAAUGAUCUCUUGUAUUUCAGAAACACAGUUAUGCCUCCAUGUCGUAUCAUCAAUAAGAAUGCUCAGGAAGAUGAGGUCCGUCCCACCUAUGGGAUGUGGACUCAUAGUAGAGCUCACACUCCAAAACUUGUCCCUACUCUGGGAGUCCCUCCAGUCCCGACUAGUCCACUUCAGGCUCUGCGGACUGAUGACAACUGUCCCUCAACUACUCAGAGAGAUAUUUUAAAUGCAGAAUUCAGAGAAUCUAUUCAUAUUCUGACAUAGUUGGUAGCUAACUAGGCUCAACGAUUAGAAGCUGUUGGGUCUACAUCUAUUAUAUUUGAGGCUACUAGGGUUGGACAUUUCAUGAAAAUGAACCCUCGUAAGUUCACUAGCACCAAGGCAGAGGAAGAUCCACAAGAGUUUAUGGAUGAGAUGGAAAAAGUCUUUAAGGUAAUACAUGGGGAUAAGGUUAAAGGGGUGGAACUAUAAGCUUAUAGCUUAAGGGUGUUGCAAAUUAGUGGUAUGGAAACUGGGAGGAUGCAAAAGGUGACAGUGCUAAGACCACAGUUCGGGUAGAAUUUGUGGAACCUUUCCUUAAUCAAUUCUUUUCUCUGGAGUUGAGGAAGGCCAAAGCGAAAGAGUUUAUAAAUCUGAAGCAGGGCAGUAUGAGUGUCCAGGAGUAUAUUUUGAAGUUUAAUAAACUAGCCCGCUAUACACCAGAGUUGACUAGUAAUAUGAGAGCCCAGACAAGGAAAUUUGCAUUCGGCCUUUCUGAUAACCUAGUGCUUGAGUGUCAGGGGAAAUGUUUAAUAAGGAGUUAGACUUUGCUAGGCUGACCAUUCAUAUACAAUAGGUAGAAGAGAAAAAGAAGAAGAUCUCUAAAGCUAGAGAGGUGGAAAGACAAGCGAAAAGAGCAAGAUCAGCCGACUAGAGUCACAUUCAGUCUUAGGGCAGUAAGUGGGGAAAUAAAUGGCAAAAAAAGAAGAAUUGGGGUAAUGCGCAGUCUCCUGCCAGCGCCCCAGUACCCCGACCACCAGCAGACAGAUGAUCUUAGAGUUUUUAGACUAACCAUGGAACCAGAGAUUAGGAUACUUAGUCACAGGGUAGUGUGGCUCAGUAAUAUCAUACUUUUCCGUGGUGUGAGGCUUGUGGUAUAAAUCAUCCUGGAAGGUGUCAGUUGGGCUCGUUAGUGUGUUAUUCAUGUGGUCAGCUAGGUCACUUUUAGAGGGAAUGUCCAUCAGCUAGAAAGAAUGUUAGUGGUGUUAAGUCUUACGCAAAUUCUUUGGCACCACCCUCGCCUUGGAAGGGCACCGCAUCAGCUGCUGAGAACAGUCGCAACCGGUUAUAUUCUUUGACCACUCGCCAGGAGAUGGAAGCUUGCCCAGAUGUUAUUAUGGUACGUUAUAAAUCUUUUCCAAUGAUUUUUAUGUGUUACUUGAUCCCAGAUCUACCUUAUCCUAUGUGACCCCGUAUGUGGCUGUUGGUUUAGGGUUUGAGCCCAAUGUGAUUUCUGAGCCCUUUUCUAUUUCCACCUUGGUGGGGAAUUCUAUUAUUGUUAGAAGGGUGUACAGGCGUUGUGUUGUGACUAUUGGUAGCUGGGAUACGUCAGCAGAUCUCAUAGAGUUAGAUAUGGUUGCUUUUGAUGCUAUCUUUGGAAUGGAUUGGCUUCAUUCAUGCUAUGCCACAUUAGAUUAUAGGACUCAAAGGGUUACUUUUUCUUUCCUGAAUGAACCAGUGAUAGAGUAGGAAGGAUAUUCUUUAGCACCUAGAGGGCACUUUAUAUACUAUCUUAGAGCCCGUAAACUCAUUUCUAAAGGUUGCUUGUACCACCUUAUCUAAGUUAAGGACUCCAAUGUCGAGAGUCUUCCUCUUCAAUCUAUUCCGGUAUUAAAAAAAUUCCUAAAAAUUUUUCCAAAUGAUCUCCCAGGAAUACCACCUGAUAGAGAGAUUGAGUUUGGUAUUGAUGUAUUGCUAGACACUCCUCCUAUUUCUAUUCCGCCAUAUAUAAUGGCUCCUACAGAACUAAAAGAGUUAAAUGAAUAGUUAGCAGAUCUCCUAGAUAAGGGUUUUAUAUGCCCCAGUGUGUCUCCUUGGGCCGCGCCUGUACUUUUUAUACGAAAGAAAGAUGGUUCCCUUCAUAUGUGCAUAGACAACCAUCAGCUGAAUAAGGUCAUGAUUAAAAAUAAAUAUGAUCUUUCUAGGAUUGACGAUCUUUGUGACCAGCUUCAGGGUUCCAAGUCUUUUUCAAAAAUAAACCUUCGUUCGGGUUAUCAUCAGUUGAAAUUUAGGGAGUCAGACAUACCCAAGACAGCAUUUCGAACCCGAUAUGGUCACAACAAAUUUCUAGUCAUGUCCUUCGGGUUGACUAAUGCCCCUGCAGCCUUCAUGGAUCUUAUGAAUAGAUUAUUCCAUCAGAUUCUUGACUUGUUUGUCAUUUUAUUUAUUGAUGAUAUUCGGAUCUAUUCUAAGAGUAAAGAGGAUCAAGCCAAUCACCUCCAAAUUAUUUUUCAGACCCUUAAGGAUGAUCAGCUGCAUGCCAAGUUUUCUAAGUGUGAAUUAUGGUUAGAUGCUAUUGCCUUCUUGGGGCAUAUUGUGUCUAGUGACGGGAUAAGAUUGGAUCCCUAGAAAGUUGAAGCAGUGAGAAAAAGGCCCAUACCUAUGACUCCAAUCAAUAUUUGGAGCUUUUUGGGUUUGGCGGGUUAUUACAGAAGGUUUGUAGAGAGUUUUUCUUCCAUAGAUUCUCCACUCACUAAAUUGACUCAGAAAAGGUGAAGUUUGUGUGGUCUGAUCUCUGUGAGAAUAUUUUUGAGAAGUUGAAAGACAAACUGACCACUGCUCCUAUUUAAUACCUUCCCGAUGGUAUAGAUGGGUUUGUGGUAUACUGUGAUGCAUCCUGUGUUGGACUUGGUUAUGUGUUGAUGCAGCUUGGUAAGGUAGCGACAUAUGCAUCUACGCAAUUAAAGGUGCACAAGCAGAAGUACCCCACCCAUGAUUUGGAGUUAGCGAAUAUGGUGUUUGUACUUAAGAUUUGGCGACACUACUUGUACGGUGUUCACGUUGUUAUCUUCUCUCACCACAAGAGUCUGCAGUAUGUUUUCUUGCAGAAAGAAUUGAACCUCAGGCAGAGGCGCUGGAUGGAGCUUCUGAAUGACUAUGAUAUGAGCCUGUAUUACCAUCUGAGCAAGGAAAAUAUUGUAGACGACGCCCUCAGCAGGUUAUCUAUAGGAAGCGUUUUUCAUGUAGAAGAAGGAAAAGAAGAGAGGGUGAAGGAUAUUCACCGCCAUGAAAAUAUGGGAGUGUGACUCUUAGAUUGCGAAGAUGGUGGGGUAAUUGUUCAUGAUUUAGCUAAGUCAUCCCUUUAUGCUAAAGUUAAGGAAAAGCAGGUUGAAGAUCCCAUCUUGAUGCAAAUCAAGAAAGAUGUGGGUUAACAAAAGAUUAUGUCGUUUAAAAUUGGUGGUGAUGGUAUUCUUAGAUUUUAGGGUAGGUUAUGCGUUUUGAAUGUUGAUGGACUGCGUGAAAUAAUCCUUGAUGAGGCGCACACUACGAGAUAUGUUAUUCACCCAGUCUCUACUAAUAUUUACCAUGAUCUAAAAACCUUGUAUUGGUGGAAUAACAUAAAAUAUGAUGUAGCUGAUUUCGUGUCCAAGUGUUUGAAUUGUCAACAAGUGAACGUAGAACACAUGGGGCCAGGUAGUACUUCCCAAGAGAUAGCCCUGCCUUUAUGGAAGUGGGAGAUGACAAACAUGGACUUCAUUAUAGGACUUCCGAGAUCUCGAAACCAAUAUGUUUCUAUAUGGGUGAUUGUAGAUCAGUUGACAAAGUCAGCCCACUUUUUGCCUGUGAGGACUAAUUAUUUGGGAAAGGAUUAUGCUAAGAUUCACAUCGAGGAGAUAGUUUGGUUGCAUGGGGCACCAGUGUCCAUUAUAUCCAAUAGAGGUACGCAGUUUUCAUCUCAGUUUUGUAGAUCUUUUCAGAAGGGUUUAAGUACACAAGUGAAUUUGAGCACAACUUUUCACGUUCAGACGGAUGGGCAAGCUGAGCGUACUAUUCAGACCCUCGAUGAUAUGUUGAGGGAAUGUGUCAUUGAUUUCAAAGGUAGUUGUGUAGAUCACCUGCCACUGAUUGAAUUUGCUUACAAUAAUAGUUACCAUACCAGCAUCAAGAUGGCUCCUUUUGAGGCUUUGUAUGGGAGGAGAUGUAGGUCUCUGAUAGGAUGAUAUAAAGUGGGUGAGACUCAGUUGUAUGGGUCUGAUCUUGUUCAUCAGGUGAUGGAGAAAGUAAAUAUCAUUAGAAAUUGACUCAAGAUUGCUCAGAGUAGUCAGAAGUCCUAUGCUGAUGUUCGGAGAAGAGAAUUAGAGUUUGAAGUUGGUGAUUGGGUGUUUAUCGAGGUUUUUCCUAUGAAAAGAGUUAUGCGGUUUGGAAAAAGGGGUAAAUUAAUCCCUCUCUAUAUAGGGCCAUAUCAGAUUCUAAGGAAGAUUGGUGCAGUUUCUUAUGAGCUAGAAUUGCCUGCAAGUUUAGGUUCCGUUCAUCCAGUAUUCCUUGUAUCCAUGUUGAAGAAAUGCAUUGGAGAUCAUUCUUUGGUAUUGUUAGUAGAGGAUAUUAAAGUGACAGAUUCCUUGUCUUAUGAAGAAGAGCCCAUUCAAAUUUUAGAUCGCCAAGUUUGAAAGUUGAAGAGCAAAGAGAUAGCCUCAGUGAAGGUAUUAUGGAGGAAUUAGAAAGUUGAAGAAGCAACUUGGGAGUCAGAAGAUAACAUGAAAAUUAGAUAUCCCAAUUUGUUUGCUUCGAUGGAUGAUGAGACAGAAGGUACUAUUCCUAUCUUAUCUUUCCUAGUCCUUAUUAUUCUUUAAAUCGUGUCUAUCUGUGUCCCGCAUCAUCAUUCAGGGAUGAAUGAUCCUAGGGGGGAUAAUGUAAUGCCCUGCAUUUUGAGCUACAAUAUAGACCGUGAUUCUGAUGCGCUGAUAAUCCUGAAGCCAAAAAUCCUAUGCCAAUAUGGCAUGUUAAUUAUUUGUGUAGUAUGUGAUUCCAUUAAAGCUUGAAUUUAGACCAUAGAGGCCCUUUGACUCAAGGACGAGUUGAAAACUACUUCGAUCGAUUAAGUGUAAAUAGAUAUUAUAAUUUGUGUCAACUUCUAUCAACCAUAACUCUUUGUAUAUAUCAAAUUAAAGAACCUACUAUGUUUAAAAUGAUAGGUUUUUGAGUUAGCUUCCCAACGAUACAAAUUUUUCUAAAAUCCAGCACCCGAGCAAGAAGUUAUGGCCUUUCAAAGUAGUAUGCGUCGCCUAACCAAUUGCAUAUGGCCAUUGGAAAGCAUAUGAGAUAGCAUAUGCGGCGACUAAUUAAACAUAGGCGAUAUCAUAGGCAACGCCUAUGUAAAGAUAGGCAUAUCAUAUGCGGCGCCUAUGUUAUGGUUUCAAGUUACUUAAACACUCUAUUUUUGGGGCAAAAUGGUAUUUUUCCCACUCUUAUUCAGCCAUAAACACGAAAUUCAGUUCCUAAUUCUCCAAAAUACAUCCACAUUCAUCUAAAAAUUCUCAAGAACACUCUCAAGGGUUUCAAAUUGAAAACUCAAAUAAAGCAAGAUUCAACCGUGGGUUUUCAAAAUCGAUUAGAGAUUCAGAAUCCCUAAUCCAAAGGCUUGGAGAAGCACCUAUUAUUUUCCGAAAUAGAGGUACGCGGGGUUUUCCUAAAUUCUCAUAGGCAUAGAAAAAUCAUGUUUUAGAAUGGGGUUUUUGAAUCUAUAUAUAUAUUCAUAUAUUAAAUGUUUUAACAACAUUAUUUUGGUAUUUUGACCUUCGCCAAAGUGAUUUGAGAAUAUGAAUGUAUGAAACUAUGUAUUUAAGAAUGGAUUCUUGUUGAGAGCAUGAUUUUUGGUGAAUUGCCUCUUAUUAUGAAUUUUUUAGAUUUCUCAUGGCAUAUGAAUUAUUUUGCAAUGCAUCCUUGAAAAGCACUAUAUGAAAUGAUUGAACUCUUGUUAUGAUUUAUAGGUGGUUUUAAAUCACUAAAGAGGGAAUCUAGCGAAUGUUUAAUGUUCAUAAUGUAUGUAAUGAAAGUGUGCAUUGAUUUGCUAAAGGCACUAGACCUCCAUAUGUUGAUGAAGUUUUUGCAUGAUUUUGACUUGAGUUUCGAAACACGAAAUCUUCUAUGUCAGUUGCAUCCUUUUGGUGGUCUAAAUUAUGCUUUAAAUGAAAGAUUUAGCUUAAUGUAUUAUGGCUCAGAAAUCAUGACUUGCAAGUCUUGGUAUGACGAUGCCAAUUCAGACCAAUGCCAUAUCAGACUCAGACUAAUAGACAUUUCAGACUAUCAUGAUUUUAGACAUUCAGAAUGUUGCAUGUACAGAAAAGUUUAAAAAUAGGCAUACAGAGAUGUUAAGUGGUUCCCAGAAGAGGGCUUGAGUUCGAGCAACUCAUUGCCUAAAACUGUGGUUUGCUGACCCGGGUAUAUUUUUAUAUGCUCACUUAAGUGUCGUAUGGCGUAUCAGAUUUAGGAACUUCAACCCUUGGGGCAUACUCGGGAUGGAGUCUUCCUCGCUGAGUCAAUGGCAGAUUCCACAUCGCCCGUGGCAUAUCAGACUUGUAGGGGAUACCACCUUACUCAUAAGUAAUACACAGAUAAGAGUUUGAGAUUUACAGACAGGUUACAUGUUUUCAGAAGAUGCCCAUGUGUUUUUAGAAACUAUUUUAUGCAUAAUGUUUGAUGAAAAUUUUCUCUCACAUAUUAUAUAUAUAUAUAUAUAUGUUCAAUUACUCUAUUUUGGAUUGCUUUGCAUUCCAGUAUAAUUGUUCUGACCCCUCCCUUCUUCCAGGUUCUGAGGUACAGUCUAGGGGUCCAGAUAAAUAGUAGAGAUUUCAGAUCACAGACCGGAG
rnacentral:lncRNA from 1 species